UUCUCUGCUAGGUACUCCCAUCGAUAUUUUAGUAAUGCGAGUCGCACAAAUGGUGGUCUCAAGAAUGAUCUCUCGUUUCGUUUGUUCGCAACAUUAAAACCACUAGCUGUUGUCGAAUAUAAUGAAGGAAAGUGUGGUAUAGAAAACAACAACUUAUUGUCCAAAUUGUCCCCACCAACCUCAGCUAUGUAUAGAAUGCUUUAAAGUUUUACAUUCUAAAUAUUUUUUUUAAUAAACCAUUUUCGUAUUAUUUUUAUAACAAUUCAAUAGUUUUAUUAUUUCUUUUGGAAUAU
rnacentral:misc_RNA from 1 species